GGAACUUAGAAGUUCUUGAUGUUCUGUUGUCCCUCAGCAAUGUUUGAACACGAUGUUCAAACAAGCCGCCACUGAGCCAUGGACGGCGAAUUGGCGGCGGUUGCGUACAUUAACAACACAUAUAUCAGAACAUCUAGUACUUCUUAGUUU
rnacentral:ncRNA from 1 species